ensembl:lncRNA
GCGGUGGCCACGGCCGAGGGCCUCUCGGUGGCGGAGGGCCGUGCCUCCUCGGUCCGCCGGGCGGACACCGGCUGUGACCUUGUAUGACGCCAGUUACGGGGCCACCAGCCUACAAGCCUGCUGACGUGAAAGGUCUGAAGACUGAGGCCCGGAGUGGUGAUGACCCGACCAGCCUGAGGCUGCACACCCAGGAGCUGGGAUCCAAGCUUCUUCCCCACCCAGCAGUUGUAGGGGCGCCCUGAUUGACUCGCCUGCGUGGAGACUUCUCACGCUGUACCUGGUCUCCGGCCGGCUCUGUGCAUGCUGCUCACCCAGCUUAAUUGAGUGUGUCUCUCCCUCGCUGCUCUAACCAGCCACAAGGUGCGGCUUCUAAUGAGGAAUAAACAACACGGC